AACGAACGCUGGCGGCGCGCCUAAUACAUGCAAGUCGAGCGAGAAGACGUAGCAAUACGUUUGUAAAGCGGCGAACGGGUGAGGAAUACAUGGGUAACCUACCCUCGAGUGGGGAAUAACUAGCCGAAAGGUUAGCUAAUACCGCGUACGCUCCUUGGACUUCGGUUCAGGGAGGAAAGCGAUACCGUGGGUAUCGCGCUCUUGGAUGGGCUCAUGUCCUAUCAGCUUGUUGGGAGGUAACGGCUCACCAAGGCUUCGACGGGUAGCUGGUCUGAGAGGACGAUCAGCCACACUGGCACUGCGACACGGGCCAGACUCCUACGGGAGGCAGCAGUAAGGAAUAUUGCGCAAUGGGCGAAAGCCUGACGCAGCGACGCCGCGUGGGGGA
rnacentral:rRNA from 1 species